rnacentral:rRNA from 1 species
GACAGAGGUGCCGAGCGUUAGGCGGAAUCACUGGGCUUAAAGCGUGUGUAGGCGGACGGGUAAGUACCUUGUGAAAUCCCACGGCUCAACCGUGGAACUGCUGGGUAUACUGCCUGUCUUGAGUCAUCUAGGGGCGAGCGGAACAAAUGGUGGAGCGGUGAAAUGCGUAGAUAUCAUUUGGAACGCCAAUGGUGAAAACAGCUCGCUGGGGAUGAUACUGACGCUGAGACGCGAAAGCGUGGGUAGCAAACAGG